rnacentral:rRNA from 1 species
UACGGAGGGUGCAAGCGCUAUCCGGAUUCACUGGGUUUAAAGGGUGCGUAGGAGGGCAGGUAAGUCAGUGGUGAAAUCUUCGAGCUUAACUCGGAAACUGCCGUUGAUACUAUCUGUCUUGAAUACCGUGGAGGUGAGCGGAAUAUGUCAUGUAGCGGUGAAAUGCUUAGAUAUGACAUAGAACACCAAUUGCGAAGGCAGCUCGCUACACGAAUAUUGACUCUGAGGCACGAAAGCGUGGGGAUCAAACAGG